rnacentral:lncRNA from 10 species
GCUGGAAGCCAUUUGGGCAGAGGCAGAAUCUGGGCUCAGAGUCUAGCCCUGCAGGACCCAGUGUGGCAGCUGCGUGUCUCUGGAGCACUGGAGAGGGGGCUACUGCAAAUUAAGAUCUGCUGUAAAGAGCAUCUUCCUGGUUAUUCUCUGGGACGCAAAACCAUGGUGGUAUCUGAUCUCAUCACACUUCUGCCAGGAGGUGAAAUCGAAGAGGCUACAUUCUUGAUGCUCAGUGUCUUCUUCAGGUCAUUUGCCUGAGGACACCUGGGGAUACUGAGCUAUGAAAAGAAAACAUUUGGAAGAUCACUGAUUCCUUCAUGGAGAGGCUGGCUUGGGAAUAGAUGACGUGUCAAAGAUUGACAUCAACCUUGAGUGCUUAUUUGUGGACUUGAGAUACAGAUAAAAAAAAAAAAAAAAAAACCUCCCUAGAGUGAGGGCUACUUGGGAUACAUGCUAUAUCCCAAGGAGUUCUCAGUUUGAGGUCAGCCCCAGCUCUACAACUCACCAGGAGAGUGCGCGAGGAUGAGGGAGAGACAGCCUGCUCUGGUUCUCUUCAAGGUGACAAUGACACCUGUUGACAGAUGAGAAUUCCAGCCAGGAAUACAGAUUUAGGAAUCAUGUUUCUCACUCUCAUGAUGACAUAGAAGAGAUGCGUCUGAAUCUUUCUGCCAGUGUGUUAAAGUUAUUCUGAUAUUGACUGUAGUUCUGAGCUUUGUCUCUAUCCCACCAAACCACUAACUUCUGGAAAUUACUUGUAGACCAAGAUGGGAGGACUCCGUGUGUGGCUCCGUCUCUCUUCAUGUGACAAAGAAACUUCCUAAAAUACUAAAAGCUAAAGGAGAUUGUUAUCUAAGCUUGAGAUGGAAGGUUGCCAGCGGAAACUUGGAGGAUCACAGCCAGUCGCCUGGGAUUGACCACAGGGAGUGGCAGAGGCAGAAAGCAAAAGACCAGUUGCAAUUAUCCAGGUAAAAGAUGGAGGCUGUUGCAAUAAUCCAGAGUGGCAGAGCUGUGGUUAAAACCUAUGUCUGUCUGAUGUUUAAGAUUUUGCUGUUAGCAUUACUUUGAAAUGACAAUAUGAGGGCAUUUUAUGUAUUUUUUUUGCCCCAAUAUGAUCUGCAGAA